CCCCUCUCAAGGUCUCACCUGGAGAGUUGCCAGUACUCUACUAGUCUCGGCUACGGGAGGGAGAGUCAAACAGAGGCCUGUCCAUUCCAUUCCUAGCUUGGGCAGUGGCUAGCGAGCGGAAGGCCCUCUGCUACGAGU
rnacentral:snoRNA from 1 species